UAGGGAAUCUUCCACAAUGGACGCAAGUCUGAUGGAGCAACGCCGCGUGAGUGAAGAAGGUUUUCGGACCGUAAAGCUCUGUUGUUGGUGAAGAAGGAUAGAGGUAGUAACUGGCCUUUAUUUGACGGUAAUCAACCAGAAAGUCACGGCUAACUACGUGCCAGCAGCCGCGGUAAUCGUAGGUGGCAAGCGUUGUCCGGAUUUAUUGGGCGUAAAGCGAGCGCAGGCGGAAGAAUAAGUCUGAUGUGAAAGCCCUCGGCUUAACCGAGGAAUUGCAUCGGAAACUGUUUUUCUUGAGUGCAGAAGGGGAGAGUAGAACUCCA
rnacentral:rRNA from 1 species